ACACAUGGCUGACUGCCCUCAGAGGGAGACAGCGGUGGAACGCCGGCUACUCCCCANUGCUUGCGUCGGGUUAGAGGCCGGAUGCAGAAAGGCCGAUGCGCUGAGGGAGGGGGCUGUGGGCCAUCAGCUAGUUGGUAGGGUAACGGCCUACCAAGGCGAGGACGGAUAGGGGGCCUGAGAGGGUGACCCCCACACGGGCACUGAGACACGGGCCCGACGGCGUGCGGGAGGCAGCAGUAAGGGAUAUUGCGACGAUGGGCGAAAGCCUGACGCAGCAACGCCGCGUGGAGGAUGAAGGCCUUCGGGUUGUAAACUCCUUUUCUGUGGGAAGAGGAAGGACGGUACCACAGGAAGAAGUCUCGGCUAACUACGUGCCAGCAGCCGCGGUAAAACGUAGGAGGCGAGCGUUAUCCGGAUUUACUGAGUGUAAAGCGCGUGCAGGCGGUCUGGUAAGUCGAGCGUGAAAGCUCCCGGCUCAACCGGGAGAGGACGUGCGAAACUGCGAGGCUAGAGACAGGUAGAGGCGUACGGAAUUCCGGGUGUAGUGGUGGAAUGCGUAGAUAUCCGGAGGAACACCCGUGGCGAAGGCGGUACGCUGGGCCUGGUCUGACGCUAAGACGCGAAAGCUUGGGGAGCGAACGGGAUUAGAAACCCCGGUAGUCCAUGCCGUACACGGAUGCUGACUAGGAUGUUGCGGGUAAAAGACCGGCAGUGCCGGAGUUAACGCGAGUACGUUAGCCACCUGGGG
rnacentral:rRNA from 1 species